rnacentral:rRNA from 1 species
AUUGAACGCUGGCGGCAUGCCUUACACAUGCAAGUCGAACGGCAGCACGGGUGCUUGCACCUGGUGGCGAGUGGCGAACGGGUGAGUAAUACAUCGGAACGUACCUUAUCGUGGGGAUAACGCAGCGAAAGUUGCGCUAAUACCGCAUACGCCCUGAGGGGGAAAGCGGGGGACCGUAAGGCCUCGCGCGAUUAGAGCGGCCGAUGUCUGAUUAGCUUGUUGGUGAGGUAAAAGCUCACCAAGGCGAUGAUCAGUAGCUGGUCUGAGAGGACGAUCAGCCACACUGGGACUGAGACACGGCCCAGACUCCUACGGGAGGCAGCAGUGGGGAAUUUUGGACAAUGGGGGCAACCCUGAUCCAGCAAUGCCGCGUGAGUGAAGAA